CGCCAACUCAAAAUCUUUUUGCAUGGGAUCGAUUAAAAAAAACUGGUCAAGAUUUACGAGGUACUUCUGAAAUAAAGCGUAUAUCAAAGAAGGAACUUUUAAGGCACAAUAAACCUGAAGAUUGCUGGAUUGCAGUGAAAGGAAUAAUAUAUAAUGUUACGAGCUUUAUAGAUUUUCAUCCAGG